UACGGGGGGGGCAAGCGUUGUUCGGAAUUACUGGGCGUAAAGGGCGCGUAGGCGGUUUGCUAAGUUGAAUGUGAAAACUCUGGGCUUAACCCAGAGCCUGCAUUCAAUACUGGCAGGCUAGAGUUCUGGAGGGGAUAGCGGAAUUCCUGGUGUAGCGGUGAAAUGCGUAGAGAUGUGGAGGAACACCGAUGGCGAAGGCAGCCUUCUGGGCCAACACUGACGCUCAUGCACGAAAGCGUGGGGAGCAAACAGG
rnacentral:rRNA from 1 species